rnacentral:misc_RNA from 1 species
UCAGGUCAAUUGGACCUUUCUACAUUGAGUUAUGGCCAAAUGAACAGUGGUCAUUCUGCAGAAAUAGCCUGCAGGUCACCCGGAUUUGAGCAAGCUUUUGGUCCACUUGGUUUGGCUUUAUGGGUAUGGUUUCUUCACCAAAGUUGUGCCAUUAUGUGUCUAGUUUCAUGUCCACUUGGCCUGGUACCAAUUGAACCCAUAAAAUUCAAGAUAUGGCUACCCAAACCUGCUGGACUCAUGUCCAAUUCUGCAGGUCACCAAGGGCAGCCACACCAACUGCAAUUCCCACUAAUCAAACCACCUCAUUUCUUGUUUACACAUAACCAAAUGGUCACUAAUUGACCAUU